GUUUUGCAGAUAGAUGAAAAUGUGCAAAGGGGAAUCAUGAACCACAGAUCCUUGAAGCACCCCAAUAUUGUUGAAUUUAAAGAGGUCCUGCUGACACCAACUCAUCAAGGUAUAGUAAUGGAGUAUGCUGAAGGAGGAGAACUGUAUGAGAGAAUUUGCAAGGCUGGUAAAUUUAGUGAGGAUGA